rnacentral:misc_RNA from 1 species
UCGCAAUCUUUCUGAUUAGGCCUCGUCCUAAACUCAAAUGGAGAAUGAGUCUAAGGCCAGUGCAUAUGUCCUAUUAUGUUUCGCCUGCAAAUGGAUCGACCAUUGUUGGAAAAUAAUUUCAAGUUUUAAAUUAAUGAGUCACUUAUGCUAGCAGUCUAUUCGUCCUGCUCGCUGUAUUAUUAAUAACAGUGAACGGCGGCGAUAUAAUACGUAAAAGUAUAGUUUUCGACAAGAACACGCCGGACGUGUUUUAUUGUCCCCAACAUAAGCCAACGGGAUUUGAAAAAAUGAUCGUAAAAGCGAAGCCAUUAUGGAGGCUUUGUCAAUUUGAGGGCAAACCUAUUCCAGAGGAUUACAAAAGUGAUUGUUACAAUGACGUAGAUGAAUCGGAGUACGCUUGUAAGGAAAAAUACAGAAUUAUGAAACGAAUCAAAAAUGCCGAGGGAGACGGAAAAGCCAUUGACAACGACUACAUCGAGAAAUAGAUGAAAAUGACGAUGCUGCACGGCCAAUCCACGCGCAAAUUCAUUCAAACACUAUUAAAAAAAAAUAUAUUAAAAACAAAAGAAAAAAAAACAAAUAAAAAACAUACACGUACACACAUUACAUACAACAAAUUAUAUCUUACUAAUGCUCGAGCUGCGCUGUUGCAGGGUACAAUGCAGUGGCAGAUUAAGCGGCCCUUCUGAACUCCCAAGUUUUCCAAUUUCUUUUCAUUAGGGUUUGAGAAAAAUUACGUUUUUUAAAUAAAUUUAAUUGAUGCGUUAUAGUAUGAAAUUUGUAUCGCUUGGGAUUCCCACUUGACUUGAUCCGCCACUGGUCAAAUGUGUAAAAUAUUAAUAAUAAUAAUAUUAUUAAUAAUAAUAAUAAUAAUAAUAAUAAUAAUAAUAAUUGACUAGGUGGCUGAAUACACAUAACGAAUACUAAAGUUAUACUUUCACCUAAUCAAUGGCCCGCUUCGCUUGAUUAUUUUUUUUGUUUUAUUUUUAUUUUAUUUUAUUUUUUAUUUUAUUUCUUUUGAUACGAAUUAAAUACUACUUCGUUGAGAGAACAUGACAAAAUAAUGUAACAAAUUGAAUCGAAUUAAAUUUUAUGUUUGAAUACACGACGAAACGUACGAUUGGAAUAGGAAAUAUGUUUUGUGCAUAGUUAAAAAGAAAAAAAUAUUUUAGUAAUUUAUAAACAAAAAAAAAGAAUGAAAUUUCUUUCUUUUCUUACAAAACCUAAAAUUCCUUGCAACGAAAUUUAUUGUAAUUUUUAAAAGUACAUACGAAGAAUUUGGAAGUGUCCUGUUUUUAAUAGUACGAUUUAAUUUUUCAUUUGUGUGUGCAUUUAAAAAAAAAAAAAGAAACGGUCUCUUGUAUUUUUGACAUUCGAUUUAAACAAUAAAACUAACACCGAUAGAGCUUGACCUUAACUCUAAGACCUGAGGUAUGGUUUCAGUAGGCAUUGAUGUCGCUUAAUUUAAUCGAUCAUAAUUUAAAUAAAUUAUAAUAAUUAUCAUAAUUUUCCAGUAGUAGUGUAGGUAUAAUAUAAUGAUCGUCUCUUUUUAAUACAAACUCGUAUAAUGUUUCUUUUUUAAAGUUCUUUUUAAAAUAUUAUUAAAUAAUAUUAUUUAUUUUCUUUAAAAAAGAAAUAAGAUAUUUAAAUAUUGUACUACUACUAGUUAUUGCAAUCUUGUUCUUUUUUUUUUUUUACUUUAUGAAAAUAAACGAAUUAAUGCCACUUUUGUAAAUAUUUUUAUCUAUAUCUUUUUUGUAUUUAUCUAUUAUUAUUCUAAUUAUAAAUGUAAUAUGCUCUACAUAUUGAAAUUAUAAUAUACAACAAACAGAAACUUCGGGAUUUUAUUCAGGAACUAUUUCUACAUCGAUUGAUGAGACUCCAUCCACCGGGAAGCAAUACGCCAUAUAACGGAACACGUCUAUCAAAAUUUCUUGCUGCCAAUAAAAAAAUGAAUAUAUAUAUUCGUAAAAAAGAAUAAAGUAUAAUUGAACUUAUUCUACUAUUUAUUUGUUGAGCUUUGUAAUUAAACAAGAAUCUUUACAAUAUUAAAAAAGAAAAUAAUUAAUAUAUCAUCAUUUAUAUAUGUAUAUGCAUUAUCUAAUGAAUAAUUAUAUAAAUGAAUAGUAGAAAACUAUAUAUAAAUAUUGUUUAAUUCGUACACACAUAGGUAUAUUCAAAUGUAAGAGAUCUUUUAAGUAAUUAAUCCUACUUCUAAUUGUGUAGAAGUCAUUUUUAAUUUAAAUGACACAAUUAAAUAAAUUUUAAUAAUUAUUGUUAAUUAUUAUUUAUAAAGAUAUUUAAAAUACAAAAAUUCUAUACAAUGGAGUUUCUUACUUUCAAGUACUAUAUUUCUAAUAUACGAUAUUGUACAGUUAACUCUAUCUAACACAAUUCAUACAUUAUAGUGUUGUAUAAAA